rnacentral:rRNA from 1 species
AUCAACUUUCGAUGGUAGGAUAGAGGCCUACCAUGGUGGUAACGGGUAACGGGGUGUUAGGGCACGACACCGGAGAGGGAGCCUGAGAAACGGCUACCACAUCCAAGGAUGGCAGCAGGCGCGCAAAUUACCUAAUCCCGACACGGGGAGGUAGUGACAAUAAAUAACAAUACGGGGUUCUUUAGGAUUUCGUAAUUGGAAUGAGUACAAUUUAAAUCUCUUAACGAGGAACAAUUGGAGGGCAAGUCUGGUGCCAGCAGCCGCGGUAAUUCCAGCUCCAAUAGCGUAUAUUAAAGUUGUUGCAGUUAAAAAGCUCGUAGUUGAAUUUCGGGAUCAAAUUGUCGGUCGUGCCUCGGUACGUACUGGUAUUAUUGGUUCCUCCCUUCUGACGAACCACGAUGUCAUUAAUUUGGUGUCAUGGGAAAUCAGGACUGUUACUUUGAAAAAAUUAGAGUGUUUAAAGCAGGCUCGCGCUUGAAUACAUUAGCAUGGAAUAAUGAAAUAGGACGUUUGAUUCUAUUUUGUUGGUCUCUAGAAUCGACGUAAUGAUUAAUAGGGAUAGUUGGGGGCAUUAGUAUUCAAUUGUCAGAGGUGAAAUUCUUGGAUUUAUUGAAGACUAACUACUGCGAAAGCAUUUGCCAAGGAUGUUUUCAUUAAUCAAGAACGAAAGUUAGGGGAUCGAAGACGAUCAGAUACCGUCGUAGUCUUAACCAUAAACUAUGCCGACUAGGGAUCGGAUGAUGUUAAUUUUUUAAUGACUCAUUCGGCGCCUUACGGGAAACCAAAGUGUUUGGGUUC